rnacentral:sRNA from 1 species
CCUGGCAAGGUCGCCAUGAAGGGAGUU